CCAAUUGAUAAAGAUGAUCUUAUUGCUUAUAUUAUUAAUGGAAUUAAUGCAGACUUCGGUCCUGUUGUCGGGGCACUUCUCGCCAGGGUCGAUCCGAUCAUGGUGGUAGAGAUGUACUCGCACCUGCUAAAUUACGAGA
rfam:Oryza sativa Japonica Group DNA, chromosome 9, cultivar: Nipponbare, complete sequence.